rnacentral:hammerhead_ribozyme from 1 species
AGCUAGCUGAUGAGUCCUAAAUGGGACGAACUACACGUUGUCCUGGAU